rnacentral:rRNA from 1 species
AGCCUGAACGCUGGCGGCGUGGUUAAGACAUGCAAGUCGUACGGUGUAGCAAUACACAGUGGCGAACGGGUGAGUAAUGAAUCGCUAAUGUACCCCGGACUCUGGGAUAGCUAUCCGAAAGGAUAGGUAAUACCAGAUGAUAUAACUUUAUCGCAUGAUAGAGUUCUCAAAGGUCCGCCGGUCUGGGAGCAGGCGAUUUUGAUCAGCUAGUUGGUGAGGUAACGGCUCACCAAGGCGAUGACGCAUAGCCGGACUGAGAGGUUGGCCGGCCACAUUGGGACUGAGACACUGCCCAGACUCCUACGGGGGGCUGCAGUAACGAAUCUUCCGCAAUGCACGAAAGUGUGACGGAGCGACGCCGCGUGUGGGACGAAGCCCUUCGGGGUGUAAACCACUGUCAAGAGAUAGAAAGUUCUGAUCAUCUCUAGAGGAAGGCACGGCUAACUCUAGCGCCAGCAGCCGCGGU